CUCACCCUUGGGUCACUCAUGACCCCUGGGCCCAUGAAAAGAAGCUCGUCAGUCCUGCUUGGUUUGUCAAGAUUAGUUUUUCCAUUUGGUCUAAGAAGAACGGAUGUGACAUAUAACCAGCCCUACUACGUACCAGAUGCUGUGCUACAUACUUUCCUUGAAUUAUCCCUAAUAUCCCAACAAAGUAAAGUAAACAAAGGAGUCAUUAUCCCUCCUGUUUUAUAGACAAGGGAACAGAGGCCCUGUGAGGUUAUUGCCAAAGGGCUCCAGUUUGAAGUGGAUCGGAUUUCAGAUUGCUCUGAUUCUAUGUGUAGCCUUCUGGCAGCAAUGAUGAUGAUAGCCAAUGUGUUGAGUACCUACUAUGUGUCGACACUGUCCUAGGCAUUAACCCUGUUAUCACCAGUCCUCAACAGGCCCUACUUUAUGAGGCAGGAAUUGUUAUCUGUAUUUUAUAGAGAAGAAAUGAGCUUAGGGAAGUUAAGUAAUUCAUUCAAGAGAAUGAGAGCUUCUAGCUUCUAGAGCUAGAAGACAAGCCAGGCUUUGAGCACAAGGUUGGCUGGACUCUAAACUGUGCUUUCUCCCACACUCCCUGCCUUUCACAGCAUUGCCAGUGAGGGGGGCCCCCCCCCCCCCCCUUGGCCAGGUAGUUUGUGGAUGUUGAUUGGUCUGCUCACCUCUCUAGCUAAAAUGACAACUGUAAAGACAGGCUUGGCUCCCCCAUGGGGCUCAGAAAGCUCUCAGCCUUCAGGGGGCCUGUAUGUGCCCAUCCACUGGACUACCUCUUCCUAAGGAAUGAUCCCAAGGAGAUCUCCCCAUGGGCACUUGGAGCCCGUAUCCCACCAUUACCUUAUCCCUGGGAUUAUUGCCAAGAAACACUGAUGGCUACCCAAAUUAAAUAAUUAAAUAAACAAAAUAAAGUUUGAAGGGAAAGAGAGAAAAUAGAUUUUGGGGAUAGAAAUGGAGUACAGCUAGUUCCCCAGUUUCUAGAGCAGAGCAGGGCCAGAGGCAAGGAGAUGAGAGCUGGAGGAGAGGACUCGGCAGAGCCACAUUGGCCUCACUCUCAGGCCUUUUAAAAUUCACCUCCACAGUUUCCAAAGGAGAAUAAAGGGCCCUCAGCCCUAAAUCAGGCCACUGCACACCAAGGUCCUUUGCCGAGGCCCAGGGCCAGUUGGGCUGCAGAUCCAGCCUCUGUGUUUGAACUCACCCACGCGCAGCAUGCUAAUGAUGGGCUGGUUUGGUGCAGACCCUUCAGCCCCUCUCCCCACACCCCCACGGCCCCAGAGCCCAGGGUCCCCUGCUGAGCGGCAGCCUGUGCCUGGUGGCUUACACCCUAGCACAUGGUUGCAAAGAGGGUUUGUGUAUGGUGAGUGUUCUGGAUGGGAUAAAACGGAGGAACGCCCUGCCCUGAGCUGAGAACCAAAGCCAGAAGGCGCCAGUGGGGAGGAGAAGGGGGGAGCUCCCUGACCCCAUUCUCUUCCUUUCCCCUCCCUGCCCACAACUUCAUGGGCAGCUUACUUCCUGCAUGAAGCCUGUAGGCAUUUUUAGGAAUCCUUCUUUGGUUGGGUGUGGGGACCCAUGAACCUUCCCCUCCCUUGCUCCUGUUUGUAGAGGAGUUUCUAGUAAGAAGUUUCCAUUGCUUCUGCCUCCCUGUGGUUCCAGGACGCAGCCAGGCCAGAGGCUCAGCCUGGACAAGAUCCACCUUCUAGGUGCAACCUUGUGGCGUACCCCCAUAACCCCCCGAGCUUUCUCCUGGUCUUCCUGUGCUUCCUGCCCUUCCCCGCACCCCCCACCCCCCAGCCUCCACUGUCUUUCAAGGGAAGAGACACCACUCGGGGAAGACUGAUGAAAUGGGCUGCCCAAGAAUUGAGAGGGCCUGGUGAUGGCGAUCCUGUCCUUCCAAAGAGGACGCGACUUCACCCUAGUGCUUCUCCACAGGUCCUUCUGUGCAGGACCUGCAGUAUGAAAACAGUGGACACGAUAAUCUCAGAGGGCUUUUAUGAACCGUAAGGAAUAAUAAUUUACCAGACCGCAGUCAUGUAUAUACCGCUGUUGUGAUUUUCGCCAGAUUUACACAGUUCUGUUCUUAUGGACUUAGCGUUCUUCUUCAAUUUGAUUUAUUGUUUGAAAUAUAACUUAGAAACAGAACUAGUGAAAAUUCUGUACCGCUUGCAAUAAACCAAAAGUUACCUUACCAAUAAACACGCUAAAAACUAAA